AUGGCCGUUGGUCACCAUGCACCCCUACCCGAUGAUGUGGCCAAUGGUGUUGUAGCUACUAGGAAAGAGAGAAAUGCCAUGGAGGUAUCUAGUGUUGUGCAAUAUAAUCAAAAUAUGGUGAGGCACAAUAGCAUGAGUGCCAAGGAAUUGAAGGCGCUGACGCACGCAAUUGUACAAGCUUCAUCUAUACUCUAUAUUGGCUUCUUUGGUAUUCGAAUUCCCUCUGCUAAAGCACUGAAAGAGGACAUCAAGAAAAACUUCAGAACACCACCAUGUAGUUGUAACGUGGCUGGUAAGAGUCGUAGUGUAACGCCCGGAUAA
rnacentral:rRNA from 1 species